rnacentral:rRNA from 1 species
UGGGGAAUUUUGGACAAUGGGGGCAACCCUGAUCCAGCCAUUCCGCGUGAGUGAAGAAGGCCUUCGGGUUGUAAAGCUCUUUCGGCAGGGAAGAAAUCGCAUGGGCUAAUAUCCUGUGUGGAUGACGGUACCUGAAUAAGAAGCACCGGCUAACUACGUGCCAGCAGCCGCGGUAAUACGUAGGGUGCGAGCGUUAAUCGGAAUUACUGGGCGUAAAGCGUGCGCAGGCGGUUUGGUAAGACAGAUGUGAAAUCCCCGGGCUUAACCUGGGAACUGCGUUUGUGACUGCCAAGCUAGAGUACAGCAGAGGGGGGUGGAAUUCCUGGUGUAGCAGUGAAAUGCGUAGAGAUCAGGAGGAACACCGAUGGCGAAGGCAGCCCCCUGGGUUGAUACUGACGCU